GACGAACGCUGGCGGCAGGCCUAACACAUGCAAGUCGAACGCUCCGCAAGGGGAGUGGCGCACGGGUGAGUAACACGUGGGAACCUACCUUCUGGUACGGAACAACCAAGGGAAACUCUGGCUGAUACCGUAUACGACCUCCGGGUGAAAGAUUGAUCGCCGGAAGAGGGGCCCGCGUCCGAUUAGGUAGUUGGUGAGGUAACGGCUCACCAAGCCUGCGAUCGGUAGCUGGUCUGAGAGGANGACCAGCCACACUGGGACUGAGACACGGCCCAGACUCCUACGGGAGGCAGCAGUGAGGAAUAUUGGACAAUGGGCGCAAGCCUGAUCCAGCCAUGCCGCGUGAGUGAUGAAGGCCUU
rnacentral:rRNA from 1 species